rnacentral:rRNA from 1 species
AUUGAACGCUGGCGGCAAGCCUAACACAUGCAAGUCGAACGAGUGGCGGACGGGUGAGUAAUGUCUGGGAAACUGCCUGAUGGAGGGGAUUAACUACUGGAAACGGUAGCUAAUACCGCAUACCAUCGGAUGUGCCCCGAUGGGCUUAGCUAGUAGGUGGGGGAAAGGCCCACCGAGGCGACGAUCCCUAGCUGGUCUGAGAGGAUGACCAGCCACACUGGAACUGAGACACGGACCAGACGCCUACGCGAGGCAGCAGUGGGGAAUAUUGGACAAUGGGCGCAAGCGUGAUGGAGCCAUGCCGCGUGUAUGAAGAAGGCCUUCGGGUUGUAAAGUACUUUCAGCGGGGAGGCGGUACCCGCAGAAGAAGCACCGGCUAACUCCGUGCCAGCAGCCGCGGUAAUUC